ensembl:lncRNA
AGUAGCUAGAUGCGGGGGUACUUAUUGCAUACUCAUAAAGCUGUGUAUCAACCAUGUAUCAGAAAGCCACUCUUCCCUGCAGUUCCAUUAACCUGUCUGUUGUCUGUUGCAGCGGAGCCAGCCAACAUACUGUAGAGAGAGUCCGUAGAGGGUGAAACAAAGAGGGAAAAAAGAUCAUUAUAUUUUAAUGAGCAGAUGUCUUGUUUUUCACUCAUUCUGAUUUUCCACAGAUGUGAUCGAAUUUUAAAAUGAUUUUCUGAUAUUUUUUUCAUUGUGGGAAAUUGAGUGGAAUUGUCGACUGAAGCUGGACUAAUGGAUACCUGGUUUGGAUUUUGAUGUUUAAGGCUCAUAUUAUGUUGUUGUGGCCCACACACAAACACUUGUCUUUUUUCAAUGACCUUUUUUGGAUUGGCUUUUAUGAGAGUGUUAUUAGGUUGCAUUUACCAUAUACCAAACAUCAUGCAGUAUUAUAUGUACUGUACGCAUUUCAAUUCACGUUGUCGUUGUGUUCGAUGUUGGUUAGGUUUUUCAAAGCCACCAUGGUCACCAAAUGUUACUGAGACAGUGGUGCUGGCUAGACAGAAGAUGGUGACAAAGUGAUUGAAAGUGACAAAAUGCACAAUUGAGAGCAUCCUGUCGAGCUGUAUCACCGCCUGGUAGGCAACUACACCGCCCACAACCGCUAGGCUCUCCAGAGGGUGGUGCGGUCUGCACAACGCAUCACCGGGGCAAAUUACCUGCCCUCCAGGUCACCUACAGCACCCGAUGUCACAGGAAGGCCAACAAAAAGAAUCAAGGACAACAACCACCCGAGCCACUGCCUGUUCACCCCGCUAUCAUCCAGAAGGCGAGAUUUCCUCCUCUUCGUCUGAAGAGGUGUAGUAUGGAUCGGACCAAGAUGUGGCAUGAAUUGCUGAAAAUCAACAAGACCAACAUUCCUUUGUGACCCUUUCCAUUUGCCACUUCUGCUUGAAGAAAAUAACAACUAUGUUU